rnacentral:rRNA from 1 species
UACGAAGGGGGCUAGCGUUGCUCGGAAUCACUGGGCGUAAAGCGCACGUAGGCGGACUCUUAAGUCGGUGGUGAAAUCCUGGAGCUCAACUCCAGAACUGCCUUCGAUACUGAGAGUCUCGAGUCCGGGAGAGGUGAGUGGAACUGCGAGUGUAGAGGUGAAAUUCGUAGAUAUUCGCAAGAACACCAGUGGCGAAGGCGGCUCACUGGCCCGGUACUGACGCUGAGGUGCGAAAGCGUGGGGAGCAAACCGG